AAAUUAAUUAAGAGGCAACUCUUAACUGGCCAUUUAGGGAAAAACCGAGAGGUUCAAGCUUAAAGGGCAGAAAACGGGAGACAGCAGUACUAAACAUUUCCCGUGACUGUGACGAAGGUAGUACUUCAACAGCGUCACAA
rnacentral:sRNA from 10 species